GUCUUUAAAAUUAAAGGAUUUGGCGGUAUUUUAGUCUAUUCAGAGGAACCUGUUUUUUGAUCGAUAAUCCACGAUAAUUUUUACUUAUUCUUAAAAUUUAUAUAUCGUCGUUAAUAAAAAUUUUAGGAUUAAAUUUUUUCAGAUCAAGGUGUAGUUUAUGUUUAAGUUAGAAUGGGUUACAUUAAAAAUUUAGGAUAAAAUGGAUUUGACAGUAAGCUCUAAAAUAUGCACAUAUCGCCCGUCGCUUUCAUUUUAAGGUGAAAUAAGUCGUAACAAAGUAGGCUUAUUGGAAAAUGUGCCUAGAAUGCAAAUUAGAGCUUGGUUAGUAUCUUUUUUACAUUAAGGGGUUAGUUGUGAAAAUCAACUUAAUUUGAAUUAUAAUGUUAUUAUGUUUUUAUUUAAUUUUUUUAUAGCAGAAGUAUAUUUUUUUAUAUUAAUUUUUUGAAUAGAUUUUAUUAUAGUUUAUAGUAUUGAGAGAGAAUUUUUAUAAUUUUUAAAAAGAAGAUUUUAUUUUUCGUACCUUGUGUAUCAGGGUUUAUUAAUUUGGAUAUCCCGAAUUCAAAAGAGCUAGUUUUACUGUGGAAAAAGUAUUUUCAACUUAUUUUUAGAUAUGAAAUGUUAUUCGUUUUUGAAUAUAUCUGGUUUUUUAAGAAAUAGAUUUAAUUUAGUUAUUAUUAAUAAAUUGAUCAGGGGAUAAGCUUUUAAGUAUAUUACUAAAAAUAUGGAUUUAAUAAGAAUUUAUAGGAUUAGAAUUUUUCAUUUUUUCAAUAUGUUAUUAUUGGUUAUUUUAGUUUUUAUAUUAAAAUGUAGGCUUUAUUUUUUUUUGUUUAGUAAUUAUGAUGGAAUUAGUAAGGUUAGUUUAAGGAAUUCGGCAAAUUUUAUUUUCACCUGUUUAAUAAAAACAUGUCUUUUUGAUAAUGAUUUAAGGUCGGGCCUGCCCAAUGAUUAAAUGGCCGCAGUAUUUUGACUGUGCAAAGGUAGCAUAAUCAUUAGUUUCUUAAUUAGAAGCUGGUAUGAAUGGUUUGAUGAGAAAUAAACUGUCUCUUGAAUUUUAUUAGUAAGUUAAAAAGCUUAUUUGUUUUAGAAAGACGAGAAGACCCUGUAGAGUUU
rnacentral:rRNA from 1 species